GACGAACGCUGGCGGCGUGCUUAACACAUGCAAGUCGAGCGGGGAUAAUGACGGAAGUCCUUCGGGAUGGAAGUUAUUAUUCUAGCGGCGGACGGGUGAGUAACGCGUGAACAAUCUGUCCCAGACAGGGGGAUAACACUUGGAAACAGGUGCUAAUACCGCAUAAGACCACGGAGUCGCAUGGCACAGGGGUAAAAGGAGAGAUCCGGUUUGGGGUGAGUUCGCGUCCGAUUAGAUAGUUGGUGAGGUAACGGCCCACCAAGUCGACGAUCGGUAGCCGACCUGAGAGGGUGAUCGGCCACAUUGGAACUGAGAGACGGUCCAAACUCC
rnacentral:rRNA from 1 species